ACUUUAAGUUGGAAGCUUGCUUUUGACUUAAGUAGUGGCGGACGGGUGAGUAACGCGUGAGCAACCUGCCUGUGUGAAGUGGAAUAACAGCCGGAAACGACUGCUAAUACCGCAUAACGUAUACUGAUCGCAUGUUUGGUAUACCAAAGGAUUUUAUCGGUACGAGAUGGACCCGCGUCUGAUUAGCUAGUUGGUGAGGUAACGGCCCACCAAGGCGACGAUCAGUAGCCGACCUGAGAGGGUGAUCGGCCACAUUGGGACUGAGACACGGCCCAAAACUCCUACGGGAGGCAGCAGUGGGGAAUAUUGCACAAUGGGGGAAACCCUGAUGCAGCAACGCCGCGUGAGUGAUGAAGUAUUUCGGUAUGUAAAGCUCUAUCAGCAGGGAAGAAAUUGACAGUACCUGACUAAGAAGCCCCGGCUAACUACGUG
rnacentral:rRNA from 1 species